rfam:Pan troglodytes isolate Yerkes chimp pedigree #C0471 (Clint) chromosome 6, whole genome shotgun sequence.
GCCAGGUAUGGUGGUAUGUGCCUGUAGUCCUAGCCACUCAGGAGGCUGAGACAGGAGGAUCACUUGAGCCCAGGAAUUUGAGGUUACAGUGAGCCAUGGUCACGCCACUGUACUCCAGCCUGGGCUACAGAGUGAGACCCUGUUUCUA